rnacentral:rRNA from 1 species
CUGGUCGUGCUGGAUGUCUAACCUGGGUCCGUGAUCCGGAUCAGGGACAGUGUCUGAUGGGUAGUUUAACUGGGGCGGUUGCCUCCUAAAGAGUAACGGAGGCGCCCAAAGGUUCCCUCAGCCUGGUUGGCAAUCAGGUGUUGAGUGUAAGUGCACAAGGGAGCUUGACUGUGAGACCGACGGGUCGAGCAGGGACGAAAGUCGGGACUAGUGAUCCGGCAGUGGCUUGUGGAAGCGCUGUCGCUCAACGGAUAAAAGGUACCCCGGGGAUAACAGGCUGAUCUUCCCCAAGAGUCCAUAUCGACGGGAUGGUUUGGCACCUCGAUGUCGGCUCGUCGCAUCCUGGGGCUGGAGUCGGUCCCAAGGGUUGGGCUGUUCGCCCAUUAAAGCGGUACGCGAGCUGGGUUUAGAACGUCGUGAGACAGUUCGGUCCCUAUCCGCUGUGCGCGUAGGAAUAUUGAGAAGGGCUGUCCCUAGUACGAGAGGACCGGGACGGACGAACCUCUGGUGUGCCAGUUGUUCUGCCAAGGGCAUGGCUGGUUGGCUACGUUCGGAAAGGAUAACCGCUGAAAGCAUCUAAGCGGGAAGCCUGCUUCGAGAUGAGUGUUCCCACCACCUUGAGUGGUUAAGGCUCCCAGUAGACGACUGGGUUGAUAGGCCAGAUGUGGAAGCCCGGUAACGGGUGGAGCUGACUGGUACUAAUAGGCCGAGGGCUUGUCCUCAGUUG